CUAUACAUGACUCUGCGCAUAUCAAUAAGCGGAGGAAAAGAAACUAACAAGGAUUCCCCUAGUAACGGCGAGUGAAGCGGGAAGAGCUCAAAUUUGAAAUCUUAAAGGGUUUCCCUUUACGAAUUGUAGUUUAAAGAAGUGUUUUCUGUUGAGGUUUUGGUAAAAGUUCUUUGGAAUAGGACAUCAUAGAGGGUGAGAAUCCCGUAUUUGACCUUUACUUUCAACUUUGUGAUACACUUUCAAAGAGUCGGAUUGUUUGGGAAUGCAGUCCAAAAUGGGUGGUAAAUUUCAUCUAAAGCUAAAUAUUGGCGAGAGACCGAUAGCGAACAAGUACCGUGAGGGAAAGAUGAAAAGAACUUUGAAAAGAGAGUUAAACAGUACGUGAAAUUGUCAAAAGGGAAGCGUUUGACACCAGUGUUGUUUUUCUGAAAAUCAAUUAAAGAACUGUUUAUGCUAAGUUGUUUAGACUUUAUCAGCUAUCUGUUUAGUUUUGAGCUUUUCUUUAAUGCACUUUUCAGUUAACAAGUCAACAUCAAUUUCUUUUGCUGUAAAAAAGCUUGAGGAAGGUGGCUUGAGAUUCGUCUUAAGUGUUUAUAGCCUCUUGCCUAUGCAGUCGGAGAGAUUGAGGUCUGCAGCGUAGAUCCUUCGGGGCUAAAUGCAUUUGUGCUAAGUUAUAGCAUUUUAUAGACAACUUGUUGACUAUGAUUUGUCUUGUAGCUUACUCGCUUAUGUUAUUUUACCUACGCUUAGGAUGUUGAUCUACAGAGCGAGAGU
rnacentral:rRNA from 1 species